rnacentral:pre_miRNA from 1 species
GUAGUACUCCCUCCGUCCGGAAAUACUUGUCAUCAAAAUGAAUAAAAGGGGAUGUAUCUAGAUGUAUAUUAGUUCUAGAUACAUCUUUUUAUCCAUUUUGAUGACAAGUAUUUUCGGAUGGAGGGAGUACUUG